GAUGCAGUGGGGAGUGACGUCAACGACCUCUGAUCAUUGACUUGCAGACAUCAUGUGUGACUGAGUAUUGGUGUUAUACUCGUCGUUUUUC
rnacentral:misc_RNA from 1 species